rnacentral:rRNA from 1 species
AGUAGACCCGAAACUGAGUGAGCAAUCCAUGACCAGGGUGAGUCUUGAUGAUAAAUCAAGAGGAGGCCCGAACCCACGCGCCGUGCAACACGCGGGGAUGAGUUGUGGAUAGCGGAGAAAUUCCAAUCGAACUCAGUAAUAGCUGGUUCUCCUCGAAAUAGCUUUAGGGCUAGCUGUAUGUGUUCCUUCUGGGGGUAGAGCACUGGAUGGAAAGUGGGUCCUUCGGGAUACCCUUUCCAAUCAAACUCCGAAUACCAGAAGUCAAAAACAUGCAAGUUAGACUAUGGGGGCUAAGCUUCAUAGUCGAAAGGGAAACAGCCCAGAUCGUCAAUUAAGGUCCCUAAAUCACUGCUAAGUGUUAAAGGUGGUGUUAAUUCUUAUACAACCAGGAAGUUGGCUUAGAAGCAGCCAUCUUUUAAAGAUAGCGUAACAGCUCACUGGUCAAGAGUUUUCGCGCCGAAAAUGUACCGGGGCUAAGCAGUGUACCGAAAUUACGAAUUCAUGAUCUCUUCGGAGCAUCAUGAGUGGUAGAGGAGCAUUCCUAUCUGCGUCGAAGCAGGAUCCGCGAGGGCCUGUGGAGCGAUGGGAAGAGAGAAUGCAGGCACAAGUAGCAAAAAUGCCAGUGAAAGUCUGGCACACCGAAAACCCAAGGUUUCCAGGGCAACGUGAAUCGUCCCUGGGUUAGUCGAUCCUAAGGCGAGGCCGAAAGGCGUAGUCGAUGGAAGAGCAGGUUAAUAUUCCUGCACUUGGUAUAGUUUGUUGUAUUGCCGCAUCUCAACGGCACGAGCGUUUUUUGGCUAUAGACGUUCCGCAAGGUAAAGACAACCUCUCCGGAGUGAGUCAAUUCGUGUUAGAGAGAUGCCUAGAAAAACAGUACAACGCUAGGCUAUAUCAAUCCGUACCGCAAACCGACACAGGUGGGUAGGUCGAGAAGACCAAGGCGCACGAGAGAAACAUGGUUAAGGAACUCGGCAAAACAGCGGCCGUAACUUCGGGAUAAGGCCUGCCCUGAGCAAUCAGGGCCGCAGCGAAAGACUACACGCGACUGUUUACCAAAAACACAGCUCUCUGCUAAAUCGUAAGAUGAUGUAUAGGGGGCGAUGCCUGGCCAGUGUCAGAACGUUAAAGGGAUGGGUUAUCCUUCGGGAGAAGCUUUGAACUGAAGCGCUGAUGAACGCCGGCGAUAACUAUAAUCGUCCUAAGGUAGCGAAAUUCCUUGUCGGGUGAGUUCCGACCCGCAUGAAUGGCACAACGAUGUGUAGACUGUCUUGACCAUGUACUCGGCGAAAAUGCAAUUGUCGUGAAGAUGCGACAUUGC